GCAGUCGCCACGGUAAUACGAAGGGUGCAAGCGUUACUCGGAAUUACUGGGCGUAAAGCGUGCGUAGGUGGUGGUUUAAGUCCGUUGUGAAAGCCCUGGGCUCAACCUGGGAAUUGCAGUGGAUACUGGGUCACUAGAGUGUGGUAGAGGAUAGUGGAAUUUCCGGUGUAGCGGUGAAAUGCGUAGAGAUCUGGAGGAAUACCGAUGGCGAAGGCAGCCAUCUGGCCUAAUACUGACGCUGAGGUACGAAAGCAUGGGGAGCAAACAGGAUUAGAUACCCGUGUAGUCCCUGUCUCUUAUAC
rnacentral:rRNA from 1 species